AGCGUAACAGCUCACUGGUCUAAAUAAGGGUCUUUGCGCCGAAAAUGUAACGGGGCUAAAGCCAUACACCGAAGCUUAGGGUUUGAUCCGCAAGGGUCAAGCGGUAGCGGAGCGUUCUGUAAGCUGACGAAGCCGUACCUGCGAGGGGCGGUGGAGGUAUCAGAAGUGCGAAUGCUGACAUGAGUAACGUAAGGGGUGUGAGAGACACCCCCGCCGAAAGACCAAGGGUUCCUGCUUAAAGCUAAUCUGAGCAGGGUUAGCCGGCCCCUAAGACGAGGCAGAAAUGCGUAGUCGAUGGGAACCACGUUAAUAUUCGUGGGCUUGAGGGUAGUGACGGAUCACGUGUGUUGUCAGAUCUUAUUGGAUUGAUCUGGCUGCGAAGUGGUUCCAGGAAAUAGCUCCCUCUUAUAAACCGUACCCGAAACCGACACUGGUGGUCUGGUAGAGUAUACCAAGGCGCUUGAGAGAACUAUGCUGAAGGAACUCGGCAAAUUGCACGCGUAACUUCGGAAGAAGCGUGACCCCUAUGAACGCAAGUUUAUGGGGGUGGCACAGACCAGGGGGUAGCGACUGUUUACCAAAAACACAGCAGCGUGCGAAGCCGUAAGGCGCUGUAUACGCUGUGACGCCUGCCCAAUGCUGGAAGGUCACGGGGAACGGUUAGUCGAAAGGCGAAGCUGUGAACCUAAGCCCCAGUGAAUGGCGGCGGUAACUAUAACCGUCCUAAGGUAGCGAAAUUCCUUGUCGGGUAAGUUCCGACCUGCACGAAUGGCGUAACGACUUCCCCGCUGUCUCCAGCAUAGACUCAGUGAAAUUGAAUUCCCCGUGAAGAUGCGGGGUUCCUGCGGUUAGACGGAAAGACCCCGUGCACCUUUACUAUAGCUUUACAUUGGCAUUCGUAGUGGCAUGUGUAGGAUAGGUGGUAGGCUUUGAAGCAGGGACGCCAGUUUCUGUGGAGCCACCCUUGAAAUACCACCCUUAUCUCUAUGGAUGUCUAACCGCGACCCGUUAUCCGGGCCCGGGACAAUGUAUGGUGGGUAGUUUGACUGGGGCGGUCGCCUCCCAAAGAGUAACGGAGGCGCGCGAUGGUGGGCUCAGAACGGUCGGAAAUCGUUCGCUGAGUGCAAUGGCAUAAGCCUGCCUGACUGCGAGACUGACAAGUCGAGCAGAGACGAAAGUCGGUCAUAGUGAUCCGGUGGUCCCGCGUGGAAGGGCCAUCGCUCAACGGAUAAAAGGUACGCCGGGGAUAACAGGCUGAUGACCCCCAAGAGUCCAUAUCGACGGGGUUGUUUGGCACCUCGAUGUCGACUCAUCGCAUCCUGGGGCUGGAGCAGGUCCCAAGGGUAUGGCUGUUCGCCAUUUAAAGAGGUACGUGAGCUGGGUUUAAAACGUCGUGAGACAGUUUGGUCCCUAUCUUCCGUGGGCGCUGCAAGAUUGAGAGAGCCUGCUCCUAGUACGAGAGGACCGGAGUGGACGCACCUCUGGUGUAUCGGUUGUCACGCCAGUGGCAUUGCCGAGUAGCUAAGUGCGGAAGAGAUAACCGCUGAAAGCAUCUAAGC
rnacentral:rRNA from 1 species